rnacentral:rRNA from 1 species
GACGAACGCUGGCGGCGUGCUUAACACAUGCAAGUCGAACGGAAAGGCCCUGCUUUUGUGGGGUGCUCGAGUGGCGAACGGGUGAGUAACACGUGAGUAACCUGCCCUUGACUUUGGGAUAACUUCAGGAAACUGGGGCUAAUACCGGAUAGGAGCUCCUGCUGCAUGGUGGGGGUUGGAAAGUUUCGGCGGUUGGGGAUGGACUCGCGGCUUAUCAGCUUGUUGGUGGGGUAGUGGCUUACCAAGGCUUUGACGGGUAGCCGGCCUGAGAGGGUGACCGGCCACAUUGGGACUGAGAUACGGCCCAGACUCCUACGGGAGGCAGCAGUGGGGAAUAUGGCACAAUGGGCGGAAGCCUGAUGCAGCAACGCCGCGUGCGGGAUGACGGCCUUCGGGUUGUAAACCGCUUUCGCCUGUGACGAAGCGUGAGUGAAGGUAAUGGGGAAAGAAGCACCGGCUAACUACGU